AGUUGGUCCGAAGGUUGUGAGUUAUUGCUAAUCUGUUUAACAUUGUCUCCCCUCACAGCCACGUUUGACUGACUGUGUUUU
rnacentral:Y_RNA from 1 species